AGAGUUUGAUCAUGGCUCAGGAUGAACGCUAGCGGCAGGCUUAAUACAUGCAAGUCGAGGGGCAGCAGGGGUGUAGCAAUACACUCGCUGGCGACCGGCAAACGGGUGCGGAACACGUACGCAAUCUACCCAAAACUGAUGAAUAGCCCUCCGAAAGGAGGAUUAAUACAUCGUAACAUCAUGCAGUGGCAUCACUAUAUGAUUAUAGCUCCGGCGGUUUUGGAUGAGCGUGCGCCUGAUUAGGUAGUUGGCGGGGUAACGGCCCACCAAGCCUGCGAUCAGUAACUGGUGUGAGAGCACGACCAGUCACACGGGCACUGAGACACGGGCCCGACUCCUACGGGAGGCAGCAGUAAGGAAUAUUGGUCAAUGGACGCAAGUCUGAACCAGCCAUGCCGCGUGAAGGAUGAAGGUCCUCUGGAUUGUAAACUUCUUUUAUGUGGGACGAAACCUCUUAUUCUUAAGAGACUGACGGUACCAUAGGAAUAAGCACCGGCUAACUCCGUGCCAGCAGCCGCGGUAAUACGGAGGGUGCAAGCGUUAUCCGGAUUCACUGGGUUUAAAGGGAGCGUAGGAGGGCAGGUAAGUCAGUGGUGAAAUCUUCGAGCUUAACUCGGAAACUGCCGUUGAUACUAUCUGUCUUGAAUACCGUGGAGAUGAGCGGAAUAUCAUGUAGCGGUGAAAUGCUUAGAUAUGACAUAGAACACCAAUUGCGAAGGCAGCUCGUUACACGAAUAUUGACUCUGAGGCUCGAAAGCGUGGGGAUCAAACAGGAUUAGAUACCCUAGUAGUCC
rnacentral:rRNA from 1 species